rnacentral:rRNA from 1 species
GGCUCAGGACGAACGCUGGCGGCGUGCCUAAUACAUGCAAGUCGAGCGGACAGAUGGGAGCUUGCUCCCUGAUGUUAGCGGCGGACGGGUGAGUAACACGUGGGUAACCUGCCUGUAAGACUGGGAUAACUCCGGGAAACCGGGGCUAAUACCGGAUGGUUGUUUGAACCGCAUGGUUCAAACAUAAAAGGUGGCUUCGGCUACCACUUACAGAUGGACCCGCGGCGCAUUAGCUAGUUGGUGAGGUAACGGCUCACCAAGGCAACGAUGCGUAGCCGACCUGAGAGGGUGAUCGGCCACACUGGGACUGAGACACGGCCCAGACUCCUACGGGAGGCAGCAGUAGGGAAUCUUCCGCAAUGGACGAAAGUCUGACGGAGCAACGCCGCGUGAGUGAUGAAGGUUUUCGGAUCGUAAAGCUCUGUUGUUAGGGAAGAACAAGUACCGUUCGAAUAGGGCGGUACCUUGACGGUACCUAACCAGAAAGCCACGGCUAACUACGUGCCAGCAGCCGCGGUAAUACGUAGGUGGCAAGCGUUGUCCGGAAUUAUUGGGCGUAAAGGGCUCGCAGGCGGUUUCUUAAGUCUGAUGUGAAAGCCCCCGGCUCAACCGGGGAGGGUCAUUGGAAACUGGGGAACUUGAGUGCAGAAGAGGAGAGUGGAAUUCCACGUGUAGCGGUGAAAUGCGUAGAGAUGUGGAGGAACACCAGUGGCGAAGGCGACUCUCUGGUCUGUAACUGACGCUGAGGAGCGAAAGCGUGGGGAGCGAACAGGAUUAGAUACCCUGGUAGUCCACGCCGUAAACGAUGAGUGCUAAGUGUUAGGGGGUUUCCGCCCCUUAGUGCUGCAGCUAACGCAUUAAGCACUCCGCCUGGGGAGUACGGUCGCAAGACUGAAACUCAAAGGAAUUGACGGGGGCCCGCACAAGCGGUGGAGCAUGUGGUUUAAUUCGAAGCAACGCGAAGAACCUUACCAGGUCUUGACAUCCUCUGACAAUCCUAGAGAUAGGACGUCCCCUUCGGGGGCAGAGUGACAGGUGGUGCAUGGUUGUCGUCAGCUCGUGUCGUGAGAUGUUGGGUUAAGUCCCGCAACGAGCGCAACCCUUGAUCUUAGUUGCCAGCAUUCAGUUGGGCACUCUAAGGUGACUGCCGGUGACAAACCGGAGGAAGGUGGGGAUGACGUCAAAUCAUCAUGCCCCUUAUGACCUGGGCUACACACGUGCUACAAUGGACAGAACAAAGGGCAGCGAAACCGCGAGGUUAAGCCAAUCCCACAAAUCUGUUCUCAGUUCGGAUCGCAGUCUGCAACUCGACUGCGUGAAGCUGGAAUCGCUAGUAAUCGCGGAUCAGCAUGCCGCGGUUGAAUACGUUCCCGGGCCUUGUACACACCGCCCGUCACACCACGAGAGUUUGUAACACCCGAAGUCGGUGAGGUAACCUUUUAGGAGCCAGCCGCCGAAGGUGGGACAGAUGAUUGGGGUGAAGUCGUACAG